UGGAAUGUUGUCAUCCUUUGAGAAUGCACACACAUACACUUGUGAGAAUCUUACUUAUCUUCAGAUCUCCAUUUAGCACCAUUUUAGAUGCUGGUUCUCUUCUGUUUCUAUCUUCUCAGCAAAUGGGAAGUAAGACUAUCAACUGAGUGUGAGAAUGAGGCAUGGGAGUUUGCAGAGAGCAGAGGAGAAGCAAGAGGGUGUUUCCUAGCAUCUCUUACGGGGUAGAGCAACCUCAGAAGAGACCUGUGUCCCAGAGUGACUAUGAGGAGCAGAGAUUCUGUGCUUAACUGAACGAUUACCAUCAAGA